rnacentral:rRNA from 1 species
AUUGAGCGCUGGCGGCAGGCCUAACACAUGCAAUUCGAGCGGAUGAAGGGAGCUUGCUCCUGGAUUCAGCGGCGGACGGGUGAGUAAUGCCUAGGAAUCUGCCUGGUAGUGGGGGAUAACGUCCGGAAACGGGCGCUAAUACCGCAUACGUCCUGAGGGAGAAAGUGGGGGAUCUUCGGGCCUCACGCUAUCAGAUGAGCCUAGGUCGGAUUAGCUAGUUGGUGGGGUAAAGGCCUACCAAGGCGACGAUCCGUAACUGGUCUGAGAGGAUGAUCAGUCACACUGGAACUGAGACACGGUCCAGACUCCUACGGGAGGCAGCAGUGGGGAAUAUUGGACAAUGGGCGAAAGCCUGAUCCAGCCAUGCCGCGUGUGUGAAGAAGGUCUUCGGAUUGUAAAGCACUUUAAGUUGGGAGGAAGGGCAGUAAGUUAAUACCUUGCUGUUUUGACGUUACCAACAGAAUAAGCACCGGCUAACUUCGUG